AAUAAGCACAGUAAUAAGUUUCCGCGUCUAAUUUUGGUCGUCCGUCUUAUUUAUUUUUUUUAUAAUUAGCAUUUUUAUUGCUAUGAGAUGAUAAAACAUGAAUAGCACUUUACUCGUGACUUAUGUUUUUAAUUUUUUUAAAAAAAUUCAAAUAAGACGAGCGGUUAAAGUUCGGCGCGGAAAAUCAUGGUUGCACUUAUU
rfam:Oryza barthii chromosome 6, whole genome shotgun sequence.